GACGAAGGUGGCGAGCGUUGUUCGGUGUUACUGGGCUUAAAGAGUGCGUAGGCGGAAAGGUAAGCGUCUUGUGAAAUCCCUCGGCUUAACCGAGGAAUUGUUGGACGAACUACUUUUCUUGAGGCAAGUAGGGGUGCAUGGAACUCUUGGUGGAGCGGUGGAAUGCGUAGAUAUCAAGAGGAAGCCGGCGGUGAAAACGAUGCACUGGGCUUGUUCUGACGCUGAGGCACGAAAGCGUGGGGAGCGAACGGGAUUAGAUACCCGUGUA
rnacentral:rRNA from 1 species